UCCUCCCUCUUUCUUCGUGCCUAAUACAUGCAAGUAGAACGCUGAAGGAGGAGCUUGCUUCUCUGGAUGAGUUGCGAACGGGUGAGUAACGCGUAGGUAACCUGCCUCGUAGCGGGGGAUAACUAUUGGAAACGAUAGCUAAUACAGCAUAACAGUAGAUAUCGCAUGAUAUCUACUUGAAAGGUGCAAUUGCAUCACUACCAGAUGGACCUGCGUUGUAUUAGCUAGUUGGUGAGGUAACGGCUCACCAAGGCGACGAUACAUAGCCGACCUGAGAGGGGGAUCGGCCACACUGGGACUGAGACACGGCCCAGACGCCUACGGGAGGCAGCAGGAGGGAAGCUUCGGCAAUGGACGGAAGUCUGACCGAGCAACGCCGCGUGAGUGAAGAAGGGUGUCGGAUCGUAAAGCUCUGUUGUAAGAGAAGAACGAGUGUGAGAGUGGAAAGUUCACACUGUGACGGUAUCUUACCAGAAAGGGACGGCUAACUACGUG
rnacentral:rRNA from 1 species